GCAAAACGCGAAGAACCUUACCUACUCUUGACAUCCAGAGAACUUAGCAGAGAUGCUUUGGUGCCUUCGGGAACUCUGACACAGGUGCUGCAUGGCUGUCGUCAGCUCGUGUCGUGAGAUGUUGGGUUAAGUCCCGCAACGAGCGCAACCCUUUUCCUUAUUUGCCAGCGGGUUAAGCCGGGAACUUUAAGGAUACUGCCAGUGACAAACUGGAGGAAGGCGGGGACGACGUCAAGUCAUCAUGGCCCUUACGACCAGGGCUACACACGUGCUACAAUGGUCGGUACAAAGGGUUGCUACCUAGCGAUAGGAUGCUAAUCUCAAAAAGCCGAUCGUAGUCCAGAUUGGAGUCUGCAACUCGACUCCAUGAAGUCGGAAUCGCUAGCAAUCGCGGAUCAGAAUGCCGCGGUGAAUACGUUCCCGGGUCUUGUACACACCG
rnacentral:rRNA from 1 species